rnacentral:rRNA from 1 species
CAAUCGAACCCGGAGAUAGCUGGUUCUCCUCGAAAUAGCUUUAGGGCUAGCCUUGAGGGUCAUUAACGCAGGUAGAGCACUGAAUGGGCGCGGGGGCCACAAAGCCUACCAACCCCUAUCAAACUUCGAAUGGCGUAAAAUGUAGACCUCAGGAGUCAGUCCGCGAGAGAUAAGUUCCGCGGGCAAAAGGGGAACACCCCAGAUCAACCGCUAAGGUCCCAAAGUUCACGUUAAGUGGAGAAGGAUGUGGAAUUGCACAGACAACCAGGAUGUUGGCUCAGAAGCAGCCAUUCAUUUAAAGAGUGCGUAAUAGCUCACUGGUCGAGUGGUUGUGCGCCGAAGAUGUCCGGGGCUCAAACGUGACACCGAAGCGAUGGAUGCGCGCAAGCGCGUGGUAGAGGAGCAUUCUGUAUUGGGAGAAGCCAGAUCGAGAGGACUGGUGGACGAUACAGAAGAGAGAAUGCCGGUAUGAGUAGCGAGAGGCAUGCGAGAAACAUGCCCGUCGAAAGCCCAAGGUUUCCUGGGGAAGGUUCAUCCACCCAGGGUAAGUCGGGGCCUAAGCCGAGGACGGAAGUCGUAGGCGAUGGAGAGCAGGUGGAAAUUCCUGCACCACCGAGGAAUGAAGCAGUGACGCAGAAGGAUAGCUCGAGCAGGGUGAUGGUCAACUCUGUGCAAGCACCGAGGUUGGGAUAUAGUGAAGUACGUAUCCCUCUAAGCUGAGGUGUGAUGCGGACCGAAAUUGAGUAGGGAAGCGAGUGAGUUCACGCUGACAAGAAAAGCUGCUAGUACAUCCGAAGGUGCCCGUACCGGAAACCGACGCAGGUGGGCGAGGAGAGAAUCCUGAGACGAACGGGAGAACCCUUGUUAAGGAACUCGGCAAAAUGACCCCGUAACUUCGGGAGAAGGGGUGCCUCGAAAGAGGCCGCAGAGAAUAGUCACAAGCGACUGUUUAGCAAAAACACAGGUAUCUGCGAAAGCGAGAGCUGACGUAUAGGUGCUGACGCCUGCCCGGUGCUGGAAGGUUAAGGGGAAGUGUUAGGGGAAACCCGAAGCAGAGAACCGAAGCCCCAGUAAACGGCGGCCGUAACUAUAACGGUCCUAAGGUAGCGAAAUUCCUUGUCGGGUAAGUUCCGACCCGCACGAAUGGCGUAACGACUUGUGAGCUGUCUCAACAGGAGGCCCGGUGAAAUUGAAGUAUGUGUGAAGAUGCACAUUACCCGCGACUGGACGGAAAGACCCCGUAGAGCUUUACUGUAACCUGACAUUGGAUCUUGAUAACGGAUGCACAGGAUAGGUGGGACGCUGGGAGACGAGGACUUUGGUUUUCGUGGAGCGGCCGUUGGGAUACCACUCUUCUGUUAUUGAGAUUCUAACCUCAAGCCGUAAGCCGGAUGAGAGACAGUGUCAGGCGGACAGUUUGACUGGGGCGGUCGCCUCCGAAAGAGUAACGGAGGCGCCCAAAGGUACCCUCAGAAUGGAUGGAAACCAUUCGAAGAGAGCAAAGUCAGAAGGGUGCUUGACUGCGAGACCAACAAGUCGAGCAGGUACGAAAGUAGGGCUUAGUGAUCCGGCGGUAAGAGAGUGGAAUUGCCGUCGCUCAACGGAUAAAAGCUACCUCGGGGAUAACAGGCUGAUCUCCCCCAAGAGUCCACAUCGACGGGGAGGUUUGGCACCUCGAUGUCGGCUCGUCGCAUCCUGGGGCUGAAGUAGGUCCCAAGGGUUUGGCUGUUCGCCAAUUAAAGCGGCACGCGAGCUGGGUUCAGAACGUCGUGAGACAGUUCGGUCCCUAUCCAUCGUGGGCGUAGGAGUCAUGAAGGGAGCUGUUCCUAGUACGAGAGGACCGGAAUGGACGCACCACUGGUGCAACUGUUGUCGUGCCAACGGCAUAGCAGGGAAGCGAAGUGCGGAUGGGAUAAACGCUGAAGGCAUCUAAGCGUGAAGCCCACCUUAAGAAUAAGACUCCAAGCAGCAAUGCGAGAGACCCCUGGAAGACUACCAGGUGAUAGGUCAUCGGUGGAAGUGCAGUAAUGCAUGCAGCUUGAUGAUACUAAUCGGUCGAUAGCUUGAUUUA